UCCUGGUGGCGAGUGGCGAACGGGUGAGUAAUAUAUCGGAACGUGCCCAGUCGUGGGGGAUAACGCAGCGAAAGCUGUGCUAAUACCGCAUACGAUCUCUGGAUGAAAGCGGGGGACUCGCAAGAGCCUCGCGCGAUUGGAGCGGCCGAUAUCAGAUUAGCUAGUUGGUGGGGUAAAAGCCCACCAAGGCGACGAUCUGUAGCUGGUCUGAGAGGACGACCAGCCACACUGGAACUGAGACACGGUCCAGACUCCUACGGGAGGCAGCAGUGGGGAAUUUUGGACAAUGGGCGCAAGCCUGAUCCAGCAAUGCCGCGUGCAGGAUGAAGGCCUUCGGGUUGUAAACUGCUUUUGUACGGAACGAAACGGUCCCUUCUAAUACAAGGGGCUAAUGACGGUACCGUAAGAAUAAGCACCGGCUAACUACGUGCCAGCAGCCGCGGUAAUACGUAGGGUGCGAGCGUUAAUCGGAAUUACUGGGCGUAAAGCGUGCGCGGGCGGUUAUAUAAGACAGAUGUGAAAUCCCCGGGCUCAACCUGGGACCUGCAUUUGUGACUGUAUAGCUAGAGUACGGUAGAGGGGGAUGGAAUUCCGCGUGUAGCAGUGAAAUGCGUAGAUAUGCGGAGGAACACCGGUGGCGAAG
rnacentral:rRNA from 1 species